rnacentral:rRNA from 1 species
CAGUAGCCACGGUAAUACGGAGGGUGCAAGCGUUAAUCGGAAUUACUGGGCGUAAAGCGCACGCAGGCGGUCUGACAAGUCAGAUGUGAAAUCCCCGGGCUCAACCUGGGAAUGGCAGUGGAUACUGGCAAGCUAGAGUGUGUCAGAGGAUGGUGGAAUUCCCGGUGUAGCGGUGAAAUGCGUAGAGAUCGGGAGGAACAUCAGUGGCGAAGGCGGCCAUCUGGGACAACACUGACGCUGAGGCACGAAAGCGUGGGGAGCAAACAGGAUUAGAUACCCGCGUAGUCCCUGUCUCUUAUAC